GACACCCUGCUCCCUGCUGCUGCUGCUGUUGCUGUGGUUAUUACUGUUCUUCUCGUGACAGGACUCCUCAUAGUAGCAUGGAAAAAAGGGUGGCUCCAAAGAUUAAUACAGUUAAUACAAGGACUAAGAGGUGAUGGUAACCAGGGGAGAGGAGAAGGAC